UCGUUUGAAGUCCGAAAUAUCUUCCUAUUAAUGCACCGACGGCUUUCAAUCUUGGCAUGUUCCUAGCUAGCAUAACAUAAAGAAGGAGAAGCAAAAUCUACAGAAGUAUUAUUUGUAAUUUAUACAUAUUUUUACUGAAAUUACAUUGAUUCAAGUAUCCAUGUUAACAUCCAUGGCUUGAAUAAUACACAGAACGGAAACUACAGAAGGGUUCCACCCGAGACAUACUCGGUGUAGGCCAACGCAACCAAACCCAACAUGGCAAAUCUACCGUUCCACAUCUCAGCAUCAGAUGUCAUGACGCCAUCUGACUUGGAUUCCGCGCUGACCCCUUUGAACAGUGGGAUCAAAGACGCGACUGAGAGCAGAAUACUUGUUCCGACGAACCACGAGACUCCACCGUUAGAUAUCUGAGAAAAAAGGUCUUGGCCCUUGGACAGUUCCACUGCCAUUGCAGCGACAAAGCCUAUCAUGGCAAGCCUGCCAUUGAUCCUCUCUGGUGCGGGUCCGCUAAAUGCGAACAAAUCAAGGAAUUUUGGGCUGACCUGUUAAUCACAGUCAUACGGGCGUUUACAUUAGAAGUGGAAGCAUAAAUGCAAUCACAAAGUCCAUGCUCUAUGUAAAUUGUUAAAAUUAAACGUUUCCGAAAUAAACCAUGCCGUAUAAUUAAUCCUGUACCUUUGGCUUAGGAGUAGAACUUGGCUCUGCUAACUUCUUGAUCUGGUCAUCCUGCAAAUUGAUUCAAAUGUUAACACAAUCCUAAGAACAAUCAUCUAAAGUAUACACAAAGGAAGUCGAAAUAGAUUCCAAACUCACCAGCUUGGAGCACUGCACCCGUUUGCUAGCACUGCCACGUAGUCGUGGCACAAACGUCGCAGAAAACAAGUUGCUCACUCGAGACCGGUUUUUCACCAGACCACUAGGUACUGGUGUUGCAAGGACGGUCUGCAUGACUGUUGAUGUGGCCAUCACUUAGAACAAUGUUUAUCACUCGAGCUGUGAUUAAGAAACUUAAUCAAUAUCUAAUAUGUGAAAGCUAUUCUAAUGCUAGAGGGAACGUUCGUAAGGGAUAUCACUACCAGUGAGUUGAAGCUGGAGCUAUUUGCUUUGUAAUGAUAAUUAAUGUAUCUGACAAUCGUUUGGUAGGCUGUUAUAUAGCCGAUGGGGCGAGAGAGGAGAGGGCAUUUUGCUUCCACGUCAUCUACAUCUAAUUAAAAAGCUGAUUGGAUCACGUGGGUUCGGUUGUCCUCACAUGGUCAAGUGGGUUACGUGGCCUCCUCACAGUCACUAGUGGACCCCACCCCAUUUAAGAAUCUGAGGCCAAUGUUGUUCUAGGUUUUUCAGCGACCACGGCAUAGUAAUCGAACUGGACUCAGCCACGAUUUUACCGCAUUAAUUUGACACGUUCAAAAUAACACAGCUAAAUUAAAUCGUACUAAUGGAUACAAUUUUUGCAAUUUGUCGACAUGUUUUUUUCUUUAAUAUCCUUUUUUAACAUGUGAUUGAUGAUAGAUUGUGUACUUUCAAUGUUCCUCUCUUUUUUUUAUUCACUAAGCUAAUUUCAUUUCUUUCAUUUUUAUCUUUAUUUUUUUAAUAUAUUAAAAAACAUUUCUUUUUAUUUUUAUAUUAUCUUUUUUAAUAUAUUAAAAAACUUUUCUUUUUAUUUUUAUCUUAUCUUUUCUAAUAUAUUGACAAACUUUUCUUUUCUUAUCAUCAGUUGCUUAUUGAUUUCUUAUCAAAAUAUUUAAAAGCUUCUUUUUUAUAUCUUCUAGUAUUUACUGGUUGUAUUCAACAUCCUUUCAAAUACAAGCCAAAUAAUAUUUGAAAUGGUAAAUGUCUCAACUGAAAAUUUUCUUGACAAUACUUGCACUGAAUCUUUCUUGAAUUUUUAUAAAUAUCUAUAUUAUCUUUUCAUCUCAUGUCAAGUCUAUUACCACUAGUAGUUUUUUUAGAUAUCAUAUAUUUUGCAAUUAAAUAAUCAAUUCAAAUUAAUCCUAUAAUUAAAAUCCCAAACAUUUACUUGAUAUUGCAACUCACACACAUAUACUAGAGUCUAAGUGUCAUCACCUAAAUGAAACUUUGAUAAAUCUCUUGCCGAGCUCAGGCUAGGCAUAAUUUUAGAUUGGCCAUUAGGUCAAAUUACAUUAAAAUCGUUGAUAGAUUUGGGGUUAGUAAGUCAGUGGCUCGAUUUUAUACCAAGCAACUGUGUUGUAUUUUAUGCAAUAGUUUUUUGCUUUUAGGCGGAUUUGCUUUUCUACCGAGCUUGAAUUUGUAUUCAUAACUUGAUAGAUCGUUCAGAAUCAAAAUUCCCUCUUCAAAAUUAAAAAUUUAGCUAGAUAUAUAGUGUGUUUUUUUUUUUUGCAUGUUUAUUUUAAAAUUUUAGCCACUAUUUGGUUGUUAGGUUUUUGUUGAUUGUGAUAAAAGUUGGUUUUGAUUUAGAAAUAAUUUUAGCUUAUGUUGUCCAUGGAAGGAAAACAAUAAUGAAGCAUUAAAGUGAAUAAAACCUAAAUUUCCAAAAUGUUUGUGGUUUGUUCGGGGCUCCAAGAUUUGCAUUGUGAAUUUUAUGGAAUGGAAGUGCUUCAUAAUAAUUUGGCAAAAUGAAAAUGAACUGAUUAUAUUUUAUAAUCUACUGAUCAUAUCUUUCUUAUAAUGGCUAUUAAAGUAGUUAAGGAAUUUAUCACAGUAACUUUUAGUGACAUUUUUAUUCAUUUGAUACAUUAGGGAUUCUUUAGUUAUUAAUUAAAAUAUAAUGAUGAACUUAAUUGUAAAUACUUAUAUAUUUUUUGUUGAUUUUUUUUCAAUGCCAUACAAAAUAUCCUGAACUUAUGCGAAGUUAAUUUUCUAUAAUUUUUAUAAAAAUAAAGGCAUAAUAUAAAAUUGAAUAAACUUAUGGAUGAUCAGGUGAUUUUCCGUUUUUUAAAUCAAAUAACAUCAAAUUGAAAUUUUUAAUUAUUGUUUUAGUUUUUUAUAUUUUCAUAUUAAAAAACUUAAUAUUAUUUGAAAUGUCAUCAAUUAAUGAUUUUACCCAUAGUUAUUAAACCCGGAGCGGUGCAGCAGGUCAACGCGGGACCUGGUCGACCUGAUGGCUGGACCGGUCCGGAUAAGGUAAAAGACCAAACUAAGCAAAAACCCGGUAUACUCAUUUUUUUUCAUAUGUGUUUUUUCACCUAACCAAAGACCUCUUUUUUAAUAUACUUUUUUAGUUGGUUAUUAACCCUUUUCAAAGUUCACUAUAUUGUUACCCAAUGGGUUCUCACAAAAAAAUAAGAAAAUACAAAAAAAAAAUAUCAAAAACUCAGUGUUUUAAAACCCGGACCGGCCUGGCGGGUCGACCCGGGACCCGGGCGACCCGGGCCUGGGACCGGUCCGGGUGGAGGCAAAAACUCGGAUGGGAGUUGGCCCGGGGAAACCCGGUCGACCCGGGACCCGUCAAACCCGGGUGAGACCCGGUCAAUUUUUUUUUUAAUUGCUAGUCAUUAAACGACGUCGUUUUGGCCUUUUAAAAGGCCAAAACGCUGAAGACUAAAGAGUAAAGACUGAAGAAGAACGAAGCAAAGUUACAAUUUGCAAAUCUAAUUGAAACCCAGCUGAUCGCACUGAAGAAGAUCAUCGCAGAGGACGUCUUGACUGAGGAGCAGAGGACUUCCCACCGCUUCCUGCCGCUGCCUCUUCUCUUCCUUCGACCUCCGCGUCCCGGCCUAUUGUGUUGAAACCCAGCUGAUCGCACUGAAGAAGAUCAUCGCAGAGGACGUCUUGACAGAGGAGCAGAGGACUUCCCACCGCUUCCUGCCGCUGCCUCUUCUCUUCCUUCGACCUCCGCGUCCCGGCCUAUUGCACCUGCUGCCUCUUCCGGUUAGUAUUGCAACUACUCUUUCUUUCAUUCUUUUCUGUUGGACUUGGAAUUUGAAGCAUAAAAGAGUGUGUGUGAGUGCAAGGACUGUGAACUAACCCAUAUCUAGUCAAAGGCAUGUGCUUUUAUUUCAUGGACAUAAGGAUUGUUAAAUUGAAAACACAAUCUGGAUUUUGCUCGUUUGAUCAAAAACAAUUAAUUGCGUGGUUUUUAGCUCACAUGAUUUAGUAUAUUACUGUCAUAGUAGUAUUACAGAAUAAUAUAGAAUAAUUCAAUACAUGUUAUGUGGAGUUGUGGAUAAAAAUGCCGACUGCUAGUUUUACAGAAUAAUAUUGUUAGAGUAGUAUUAGUUCAAAUGAAUCUGUGGUGUUCUUUAAGCCGUUUCAAUGUCUUUUUCCAGUGAUAUAGGUGUUUUUUUUUUUGGGUUGACCCGGGUCAACCCAUAUGACCCGUGACCCGAUCACUGGACCGGAUCGGGUUUUAAAACUAUGCAAAAACUAUUCGCAAGAAAUCCCAAAAAUAAUAGGAGCGAGAAAAGGAAGCUGGAAUGUUGAAAAAAGGCCAAAAUUGGUUGAGGAGGUUUAAAAAUGUAAAAGUUUGAAAUUUGAUAGUAUAUUUUUAACUGGUGAGAGCCAUGUUGACAAGGAAAAUUUAAUUUUAGAAAGAAAAGUCCAAAAUAAGAUAUUUAUGGGCUCAAUUAAAUUUUAUCUAAGGUUUAAUUGAAUUUAUGAAGGGUUUGAUUGCAAGAAAAAUUAAUGUUUAAGUUAAUUUAGGCUUUUAUUUGAAUAAAUUAAAGUUCUGGGGUCCAAUUAUAAUUUUGAAAAGUUGAUUUGAUCAAAUCAGGAGCUUAAUUGCAUAAUUAUUGAAGUUUGAUGGCCAAUUAGGGAUUUAAUUGAAACAAUUCAAAACCAAGGACAAAACCGCAAAAUGCGCUAAAAUCAAGGGAUCCAAUUAAAAUAUUUACGGGGGGCUUGAUUACAAAAUUGCAAACAAUUCAAUGACCAAAUCAAAAGUAUCUAUUUGAAUUUUGAAACGGCGCCGUUUCUUGGACACUAUUCAUUGUCUCUUCCAAUCAGCCGUUUUCAGCAGUAAUGGCUGAGGCGUUUAUUGCAGCAUGGCGUCCGUUAUGGAGCAUGCUUUAAGGCUGUGAUCCCUCUACAUGCAGAGGACAAGCCGACCAUUACCAGCACAAGGCUCUCUCUGACCUAUAAAAGCAGGAGAAGAAGACUGAACAGGGGGAGGAGGAGGAGCAGGGGCAGAAAAAAAACAGGGAAGAAAGUGGAAACCACAGAGAGAAAGAAAAGAAAAAAAAAAAGGGAAAGCGUGAACAUAAGAAGAGAGGAGAACAGGGAAAGGAAAGAAAAUCUGAGAGAGAAAGAGAGGGAGGGGAGUGAACGAAGCACAAGAGAAUGCAGGAGGAAGAAGAAGAAAAUACAGAAAACAAAACCAAAGCAGCAUCCUUCGUGUACCACGGCCCGUCCUCCUUUUCGCCGCCACCAGAGGCACCGCUAGCAUCAACAACACCUCUACGAAGCCACUGCAGAGGCAGAAACACCGUUGACAGGAGGGGAAAAAAACAGAGUAAGCAGACAGCAUAACCGAAACAGAGGAGAAAAGAAGAAGCAGCAGCGUUUACCACCACAGCCAGCUGCCGCGACACCAAAGCCAUCGUAGGCCACCAGCACCGUGAACUACAACGCCUCCAUUCCAGGUAAUCCUAUUCCCUUUUGUUUUAAUUUCUGCGCUUGAAACAGGGGCUCGUUUUUGCUAUCUGCAAAAACGACCAUGAACAGUGCGAAGGUAAUAUCCAUGCACGCCUAAAAUUUUACGCGUGCAUGGUUUGUUUGGGUCACUGGCUUGGGCCAGUGACCAUGCACGGGUUGCUGGGCCCAGCCCAAAAACAAAUUCUUCAAAAAUUAUUUCAAAAAAAUAUGUGAUUUUCCGCAAAUUUUUUACUUUUUUUUAUCAAUAUUGAUUUGAAUUUUUAUACUGUAAAGAUACAAAUCCGGUAUUAAAAUACCUGGUUUUCGUCAAAACAUAUAAAAAAAAAUAUUUUGUUUUCAAGCAUAUGACCAAGUCUCUCAAAAAAAAAAAAAUCAUAUUGUAUUUUCAUAUAACAAAGAAAAUUUCAAAAAUAUGUAUUAGCGUGCAUUUUGGCUUUAAUAACCAGUUUAUUAAAGUCACGAGAACUAGACCAAUAUUUUAAAAUUUUCAAAAAACUUAUUUUGUUUUCUUUCAAUAUCUGGGGUUGCAACCUUAUACGUAAGAUGUAUUCCGGAUAUUAAAUUUUUUUGUUGACAUCAUAAUUACCCGAUAAGAUAAGGAUCUCCUUAUCAAGAAGGACUUUUCUUAAACCAUAGACGGACCAACAACUAGAAAUCACGAUAAGACCUUAGAUUUUAUCAGACAAUAAAACAAUGCAGCUUACCUUAGAUAGGGCGUAUUUGGGGUGGUAAUACCUUUUCUUUAUGCAACCAGUCCCCGUAAUUAAUUUCUGAGACCAGUAAGGGUUCCUAGUGACCAAAAUAUUAGGUGACGACUCCCAUUCCAUUUUCCCAUUGAUAAAAGACAAGAAUUCCUUGUCUCCCCACCUUUGCCACAUUAGAUAAAAUGUGAGAGUAUAUGUUUUUCGCCGCGAUACCGCACACGUGCGACACACUAUAUAAAUAUUAGAAAGAUUUUUUAUUUUAUCAAUGUGGAAUUUGAAACCCUUUAAUAUAUAUACUCUAUGUUCACAAGAAAAAAAGUUAUUUUUCAAUGUGGGAUAUAAAAACCAUUUUGAAGUAAUCUUCUAAACUUUAUUAUUUACAACAUGUAUAGCUUAUAUUCAUACAGAUUGUUUUUUUAUUUUUUCAUAUGAACUAUUAUAACUUCAAAUAUUUUUUUAAAAUUUUUUGUGGGUUGACUAAACCCACGUAACCCGGGACGAGGCUCCGUGGUCGGGUCAAUUCUCAGGUCAAGUUUGAUAACUACGAUUUCACCUCUUCAAUAAUAUUUUAAAAAUAAUUUUUAAAUGCAAUGUAAUUAAUCACAUUAUCAAAAGGAAAAUAAAUGUGUAAUCGGAAUAGUGAACUUAUAACGCAGACAAAAAUUUGUUAAAUCUAGUAAUUAUUUAAAUUGUUUAAAUAUUAUUCAAAUUGGACUACCACCACUUGUUCUAUACAAUUGGGAUGAUUUAAAAAAUUUGUAAAACACUGUUGUAUUGGCAUACGUACAUUUAUGUUCAUAGAGAUGAAUUUAGAAUUUGUUGACAGAAAAGACCAAAAUGCACAGCCUUGUUGUCGGGUGGCUAUUACAUAAAAAUAACUUCAAAAAUAAUAUAAGUUCAAGGAUGAUUUUGUAAACAUCUCAAACUUUGAGGGGCCAGUGCCACCGUAGCCGCCAUUUAUCUCUACACGUGCAAGUGUUUGUUAGGCCUUUUGGCACAUUAUAUAACAUGCAUUUUAUAGGAUGCCUUGGUAUAAUUGCUUCGAUCCUUGCCCUCUGAUUAUCAUUAGUAAACCUGAAAACCAUUGCUAUAUUGGUCUGAUAUCUAUUUUGAUUCUAGCCAAAUACAUAAUGUUUUUUUUUUCCUGUGGAUGCCCUUUUUUUUGGUAGAAUAUUACAUCUGCUGUCUCAUUAUUUCAUCAUCAAAUGGUGUUGUCAAUAUAAUGCAAUGUCAAUUUUAACUUUUCUUUCUUUUUAAUUAAUUUAAUUAAGUCCCUAAUCUUUAAAUUAUAUAGCGUCAACAAAAUUGAAUCUCGUAUCUUCAGUGAAAUCCACUAAGGCGAAUCGAAAUGCAAAAAGAACAAAAAAAAAGAGGUUUUAAUUUGGCUUCGAAGAAAGAGUUCUGUUUGACCUGUAGCGGGUGCGGUAUGAUAUAUCUCCUAAAUAAACUUUUUUUUUAAAAAAAGAAAAAAAGCGAUAUGCUUGUUUGCUUGUGUGUCUAGUUUUUGUAAUCACACUGUUAUUAGCAGCUACUCUUGAUGCUUCGAAGGAAGUGAAAAAUUUAGACUUUAUUUUGAUUUCUCUUCCUCCUAAAUAUCUCUCAAUCUUUGUUGGCUUCGAAGAAAGAGUUCUGCUUGACCUGUAGCGGGGUGCAGUGGAGUAGCCAGAAAUUUAGAAAUUUUUAAAUGAGUGGGUAAAGUAUUAAAAAAGACUUGAUAUUAUAUAUGUAUUAUGUAGAUAUGUAUCAUAUUAAUUUGAAAUAUAUAUACUAAAUCAUAUCAAAUACAAUUAAUGUAAGAAUACUUUCAAAAUGAAAAAACUAACUUGGUUAAUUGGUUUUUUUUUACGAUUUUGGUUUUUUUUUUUUUUUUAGUUUUAAUCAGUUUUUCAAUUUUUUUUUCAUCUUUAAAGUUAACAAUAACUAAUUUAGAUUAAAUGAUAACCAAAAAAAAAAUUUAAAUCUGCUAGAUAUUAUUAAUAUUAAUAUAAAAUUAGGAAUUAAAAAAAAAAAGAUUAAGGGGGCAAUUGCCCCCUCACCCUACGUGGCUCCGCCCCUGGCGGGGUGCGGUAUAAUGUACCUCCUAAAUAAACUUUUUUUUUAAAAAAAAAGAAAAAAAGCGAUUUUAAAUGGCCUAAACUGGAUGGGCAUUGCAUUUAAAUCUACCACUUUCAUCAAGUGUAGUUGGUCAAAUAUUUGUAAUCGGUCGCUGAAAGAAAGAUCCGUGAUUCGUUAGAAGUCCGAAAUAUCUUCCUAUUAAUGCACCGACGGCUUUCAAUCUUGGCAUGUUCCUAGCUAGCAUAACAUAAAGAAGGAGAAGCAAAAUCUACAGAAGUAUUAUUUGUAAUUUAUACAUAUUUUUACUGAAAUUACAUUGAUUCAAGUAUCCAUGUUAACAUCCAUGGCUUGAAUAAUACACAGAACAGAAACUACAGAAGGGUUCCACCCGAGACAUACUCGGUGUAGGCCAACGCAACCAAACCCAGCAUGGCAAAUCUACCGUUCCACAUCUCAGCAUCAGAUGUCAUGACGCCCUCUGACUUGGAUUCCGCGCUGACCCCUUUGAACAGUGGGAUCAAAGACGCGACUGAGAGCAGAAUACUUGUUCCGAGGAACCACGAGACUCCACCGUUAGAUAUCUGAUAAGAAAGGUCUUGGCCCUUGGACAGUUCCACUGCCAUUGCAGCGACAAAGCCUAUCAUGGCAAGCCUGCCAUUGAUCCUCUCUGGUGCGGGUCCGCUAAAUGCGAACAAAUCAAGGAAUUUUGUGCUGCCCUGUUAAUCACAGUCAUACGGGCGUUUACAUUAGAAGUGGAAGCAUAAAUGCAAUCACAAAGUCCAUGCUCUAUGUAAAUUGUUAAAAUUAAACGUUUCCGAAAUAAACCAUGCCGUAUAAUUAAUCCUGUACCUUUGGCUUAGGAGUAGAACUUGGCUCUGCUAACUUCUUGAUCUGGUCAUCCUGCAAAUUGAUUCAAAUGUCAACACAAUCCUAAGAACAAUCACCUAAUUAAAGUAUACACAAAGGAAGUCGAAAUAGAUUCCAAACUCACCAGCUUGGAGCACUGCACCCGUUUGCUAGCACUGCCACGUAGUCGUGGCACAAACGUCGCAGAAAACAAGUUGCUCACUCGAGACCGGUUUUUCACCAGACCACUAGGUACUGGAGUUGCAAGGACGGUCUGCAUGACUGUUGAUGUGGCCAUCAAUUAGAACAAUGUUUAUCACUCGAGCUGUGAUUUAGAAACUUAAUCAAUAUCUAAACUGUGAAAGCUAUUCUAAUGCUAGAGGGAACGUUCGCAAGGGAUAUCACUACCAGUGAGUUGAAGCUGGAGCUAUUUGCUUUGUAAUGAUAAUUAAUGUAUCUGACAGUGGUUUGGUAGGCUGUUAUAUAGCCGAUGGGGCAAGAGAGGAGCGGGCAUUUUGCUUCCACGUCAUCUAUAUCUAAUGAAAAGGCUGAUUGGAUCACGUGGCUUCGGUUGUCCUCAUAUGGUCAAGUGGGUUACGUGGCCUCCUCACAGUCACUAGUGGAUCCCCACCCCAUUUAAGAACCUGAGGCCAACGUUGUUCUAGGUUUUCCAGCUGAGCAGCGACCACGGCAUAGUAAUUGAACUGGGCUCAGCCACAUUUUACCGCAUUAAUUUGACACGUUCCAAAUAACACAGUUAAAUGGAAUGUAUAAUUUGUCGACAAGUUUCUUCUCUGAGAUCUUUUUUAGUAGGUGGUUGAUGAUAGUUUAUGUAUUUUCAUCUCCUACUUGUUAUCCUUUUUCCUUUGUUCACUAAGUUAAUUUUUUCUUUAUCCGCUGAGCUAAUUUCAUUCCUUGGGAAUAUUUUUAUCGUUGUUUUUUUUUUCUCAUUUGCUUUUUAAUUUUUCACCAAAACAUUUAAAAUCAUCUUCUUUACAUCUUCAAGGUUUUUUUCAAUAUAUUGAAAAGCCUUUUUUUUCUUCUCAGUUACGUGUUGAUUUCUCACCGAAACAUUCAAAAGCAUCUUCUUUGCAUCUUCUAGUAUUUGCUGGCAUGACUCAACAUCCUUUCGAAUGCAAGCCAAAUGAUAUUUGAAAUGGUAAAUGUCUCAACUGAAAAUUUUCUAACAAUACUUGCACUGAACUUUUCUUGAAUUCUUAUCAAUAUCUAUACUAUGUUACCAUCUCACGUCAAGUUUAUUGUCACUAGUAGUUUUUUUUAGAUGUCAUGUAUCUUGCAAUUCAAGAAUCAAUUCAAAUCAACUCUAUAAUUAAAAUCGCAAACAUUUACUUCACUUUGCAACUUAAUAAGAAACUCGAUAAAAAUCAUGUGUAACCCUCAACUAUUUUAUUAUUUUCACUUUGAUUCCUCUGUUUUUUGGAUAGAUUAACUCAUUUACUUCAUCAUUUACAAGAAACGAGUCCCUUUAAAUUUUAGCAGGCUAUUUAACAUUAAUUACUCUAUUGUCUAAUGCCAGUUUACAACUUAUAUUCUAUAGAUUUGCCAGCUAAAACAGAGAAAUGCCAAAUUUUUCUUCACAUCUUUCUCCAAUUAUUUGAAUUGAUUAUAGAUUUGUGUCCCAUUGAAUCUUCAAAGAGAAAAAAAAAUAGAGAACACAAAAGAAUGCAUCUCAUGUUUAAUCAAAACACAAAACUCAACAGAGCAAGAACAAAGAGAGAAGUGACAUUAACAUUUAAAACACUACUAGAAAAUUGAUAAAUACAAACGGAAAUACCGAGAGAAUAUUUCCGUCGGUAAAUUUCUGAGAGAUUUUACCGACGGAAAUAUUCCCUCGGUAUAUACCGAGGGAAUUACUGUGGGAAACAAAAUUAAAACAAAGCAAAAAAAAAUGAUAACGUGUCAUUUUUACCAACGGAAAUAAAUCCGUCGGUAAAUCUGGUGGUAAACUGUGAACAUUGUUCAUCAUGUCAAUUACAAAGGGAAUCACCGACGGAAAUUUUUUUCGGUAUUUUCCAGAGAGCUCCAGAACUGUUCACUUUCCAAUUGCACUGUUAAUUGUUGUUCUUUACAGACAAAAUCACCGACGGAUUGAAAAGUCGUCGGUGUUAUUUGGUGGUUUUCUGAAAAAAAAUCAAUUAAUUUAAAUUUUUCAUUUAAAUAUUACAGAUGGAAUCACCGACGGAUUGAAAAAUCGUCGGUAAUUGUUGGCGGUUUCUGAAAACUUUUUACAAAAUUGAAAAUUUAAAUUAAAUAUUACCGAUAGAAUUACCGACGGAAUAAUUAAAAAAUAUUAAUAUUCAAUUAUCCGUCGGUAGAUCCGUCGCUAACGCGCCCCAAUAAAAAGUCUGGAUCCCCUUAUUUCACAAGAGACAGGCUCAUUUUUUAUAAUUUUUCUUCUACUUCUUCUUCUUCUUCUACUACUACUACUACUACUACUUCUUCUUCUUCUUGUUCACUAUAUGUAAAAAAUAUCAAUAUCUAUUUCAUUCUUUUAUUUUCUCUUCUCAUCUUCUUCUCCUUAGCUUCACUUGCAACUACAUUAAGGUAAUAUUUUUCUUUUUUCUUCUUUUUUCAUGAUUGUUUUCACUAUAUUUGUUUUUUAUUCUAUUUUUAAUUGUUUUUGUUCUUAAUAAUUGUAUAAAUUUUGUUGUGAGAUUUUUUUUCAUAUGAGACUAAUUUUUAGUUGAUUUAUUUAUAGGGAUUUUUAAAUUUUUAGCAAUUGCAACUUCAUUUUUUUCAUAUGAAUUUUUUUAGUUGAAUUUAUUUUUUUCAUUUUAUUUAUUUGUUGCAAAUUUGUUUGAGUUGAUUUUCUUCUUUUUUUUCCAAGCAUUUUGAGUAUAUAAUAUACAAUGUUGAUUUAUGUUAAUUUAAUUAUUUUAUAAUUUCAUAAAAUGAAUUUUUUUAAAAUAUUUUUAUAUAAUUACCGACGGAAUUACCGAGCUUGAAUUUGUGUCCAAUGAUAUUGAGGCUCUUAUUGGAUUGCCAAUUUGUUAUGGUAUGAUAGAUCAUUCAGAAUCAAAAUUGUCAAUUUGUUAACCAUCUAGGUGGUGGCCCAGUGGUAACAGUUUGGGACUAAGAGGUUUGCUCUCUUUGUGGUCUCAGGUUCAAGCCCUGUAGUUGCUCAUAUGAUGGCCACUGGAGGCUUACAUGGUCGUUAACUUCAGGGCCCGUGGGAUUAGUCGAAGUGUGUGCAAGCAGACCCAGACACCCACGUUAAACUAAAAAAAAAAAAAUUGUCUUUUCAAAAUUAAAAAUUUAGCCAGAUAAGGAGAUUUUUUUUGGCAUGUUUGUUUUCAAAUUUCAGGCACCAUUUGGUUGUUAGGUUCUUAUUGAUUGUGAUUAAAGUGAUUGGUUUUGAUUUAGAAAUAAUUUUAGCUUAUGUUGUGCAUGGAAGAAAAACAAUAAUGAAGCAUUAAAGUGAAUAAAACCUAAAUUUCCAAAAUGUUUGUGGUUUGUUCGGGGCUCUAAGAUUUGCAUUGUGAAUUUUAUAGAAUGGAAGUGCUUGAUAAUAAUUUGGCAAAAUGAAAAUGAACCGAUUAGAUUUUGUAGGAAAGUUUAUGCAAUCUCCUCAAAUCUUUCUUAUAAUGGCUGUUUUUACUUAUUUUGGGCCCACAUGCUGAAGAUGAUGUAUACUGUUUUUUGAAUCGAGUGCAGGUGCUAAAGAUGCACCGACGGCUUUCAAUCUUGGCAUGUUCCUAGCUAGGAUAACAUAAAGAAGGAGAAGUAAAACCUACAGAAGUAUUAUUUGUAAUUUAUAUAAAUGAUUGAAAAUUGAUCUUUUACAUAUUUCGCUACUGAAAUUACAUUGAUUCAAGUAUCCAUGUUAACAUCUAUGGCUUGAAAAAUACACAAGACAGAAACUAUAGAAGGGUUCCACCCGAGACAUACUCGGUGCAGGCCAGCGCAACCAAACCCAACAUGGCAAAUCUACCGUUCCACAUCUCAGCAUCAGAUGUCAUGACGCCCUCUGACUUGGAUUCCGCGCUGACCCCUUUGAAUAGUGGGAUCAAAGACGCGACAGAGAGCAGAAUACUUGUUCCGACGAACCACGAGACUCCACCGUUAGAUAUCUGAGAAAAAAGGUCUUGGCCCUUGGACAGUUCCACUGCCAUUGCAGCGACAAAGCCUAUCAUGGCAAGCCUGCCAUUGAUCCUCUCUGGUGCGGGUCCGCUAAAUGCCAACACAUCAGCGAAUUUUGUGCUGACCUGUUAAUCGUCAUCAUGCGUGCGUUUACAUUAGAAGUGUAAGCAUAAUUGAAAUCAAAAUGUCCAUGCUCUACUUAAAUUGUUAAAAUUAAACAUUUCCGAAAUAACUCUACCAGAUAAUUAAUCCUGUACCUUUGGCUUAGGAGGAGGACUUGGCUCUGCUGACAUAUUCUGCUCAUCCUGCAAAUUGAACCAAAUGUUAACACAAUCCUAAGAACCAUCACCUAAACUAUAUACAAAGGAAGUCGAGAUGGAAUCCAAAUUACUCACCAGCUCGGCCUUGCACUGCAACCGUUUGCCAGCACUGCCACGUAGUCGUGGCACAUACGUAGCAGAAAACAAGUUGCUCACUCGAGACCGGUUUUUCACCAGACUACUGGCCACUGGAGAUGCAAGGACGGUCUGCAUGACUGUUGAUGUGGCCAUCACUUAGAACAAUGUUUAUCACUCGAUCUGUGAUUAAGAAACUUAAUCAAUAUCUAAACUGUGAAAGCUAUUCGAAUGCUAGAGGCAGCGUUCAGUAAGAAAUAUCACUACCAGUGAGUUGAAGCUGGAGCUUUUUGCUUUGUAAUGAUGAAUAUUUAAUGAAUCUGACGGUGGUUUGGUAGGCUGUUAUAUAGCCGAUGGGGCAAGAGAGGAGCGGGCAUUUUGCUUCCACGUCAUCUAUAUCUAAUGAAAAGGCUGAUUGAAUCACGUGGCUUCGGUUGUCUUCACACGGUCAAGAGUGGGUUACGUGGCCUCCUCACAGUCACUAGUGGAUCCCCACCCAAUUUAAGAAUCUGAGGCCAAUGUUGUUCUGGGACCACGGCAUAGCAAUCGAACUGGACUCAGCCACGAUUUUACCGCAUUAAUUUGACACGUUCAAUCACAUAACCUGACAAACCAAUAUUAAUAGUAAUAUAAAAAACUUAUGAUGUAACAAAACAUUUAUGAUGCUUAUGAUUUUUUCUUCUUUUUAUAUUUGUUUUUUAUGUUAUAAAUACUCCAUAAUUAAAAUUUUAAGCAAAAGUAAGUGUGUGAUUUAUAGAACAAUACAAAUAUUUUAUGUAAAAGUAUUUUUUAAAGAGAAAAUUAUCUUGAGUAUCGUAUAGUUUAUUUAAUUUUAUAUUUUGUUUUUAUUAUUUUAAAAAUUACUGAAAUUAUUCUUGAUCAACCGAAAAUUUUAAAUCGAUUGAAAUGAUCAAAUUAACCUCUACCUGUUGUAAUUCCUUAAAAUUUUGUUGCUUGUUGGGUGCUAUUAUAACUAUGGUAAAAACAUAUUGUUGAUCAAGACAUGGUCACAAAAAAGAUAAGGAAAAUUUUUCUUGGGAGAGAAACAUUGAGAUGCUCGUCAUGAAAGACUUUCAAAGGUAGAUCACAAAGUUGACUUAUAGGUUAAAGGAUAAGGGUUUAUAAAACCAAAAUUAGAAGAGUGAUCAUGGAUUCCUAGCCAAUACUGAAAACCAAAGGCAUGAUCAUAUAUAAAAUAUAACCUCUUGAUUAGGAAGAGAUUAAAUUUAGGAAUUUUUUGUUUCACAUUAAAAUCCCUAAAUUCACAAGAACUUCACAAGUAAAGGAUUUCAUAGAACAGAUAAAUAGGGUAAAAUGAAUUUUUUAGUAUAAUGAGGUUCUCAAAUAGAUGUGAGGGAAGUUGAUGGUGAUUAGAUUAAAAGGUAGAGUUUCUGUUUAAUGAGAAUAGUUAAAAGAAAUCGAGAGAGGCAUGAAAAGCUGAGAAUAGUAAUUUAGAAAAGAUGAAGAAGAAACUAAAAGAACACUUCCUUCCAUUUGGCUAUGCCCAAACCCUGUACAAAAGGUUUCAUAUGUUAAAACAAAUAGACAUCAAGUCAUAGUUUUGGUUUAGUUUUCAGGAUUUGUUGUUAUAGUUGUGGUGAGUUAAGGCAUCAAGCUAAUGAGAAUGCAUUAAAAAACCAGAAAGUUAUAUAGAAAAAAAUAUGUUGAUAGAGGAACCUGCAAAUAAUAUGGCUGAUCUUAUUUAAAAUGACUCUAACAACAGUGAAUAGACUUUAAAUGGGGAUAGCAGUACUACACUAGUUGUCUGAAAAAUCAUGUUGUCACCCGAUGGUGAUUAAUGAUAGAAUUGGUUGUGUUCUAAAAUCUUCCAAAUAACGUGUAUUGUUAACAACAAGAUAUGCAAUCUAAUCAUCUUCGAUAGUAGUUAUGAGAAUAUAGUGUUAGUUGAAGUGGUAGAAAAAUUACAGCUUAACAUAGAAAAACUCUUCAUCCCUUCAAACUAAAAUAGCUGAAUGAAACAACAAGGUAAUAACGGACAAGGGCUAUUUUAUUUUGUUUUUCAUAAGCAAGAUUAUAUAUUUUAAUAAUAUUUGGCAUGAUGUGGUGGCUAUAGAUGUGUAUCAUAUACUUUUGGACAGACCAUAACAAUAUGAAAGAAAUGUCGUGCAUGAUGGAAGCUGUAAUACAAAUACCCUUACUAUAACAAGGAAAAUAUGGUAAUGACUCCUAGAAAGAGGAGGCAAUUGUUGAAGAUAAGGGUAAAAAUAAGUUGUUUUUAUAUAGAUUUACGGAGAACAAGAAUAAAAAAAAAAGAAUGUGAAGGAGGUGAAGAGGGUAAAGGUCUAUUGUGGAAUAAGUUAAUUAAAAUGAGUAGUGGUUUUGUCAAGAUCAAGGGUGGUAUUUUGAAAAGUUAAUUAUUUUUUUCCCUACUUUAUCUAAGUUGAUUACAUGACAAAAGUCUAAAAAUGGUUGAUGACAGCGACAUGGUUAUGACCAAAACUUGAGGAUGAGUUUUUCCUAACCCAAAUGAUAUAGGUAUGUUUGCAAAGAUUAGGAGUUCUAAGCAGUUAUAUAAAGAUUUUCCUAAAACAAAUUAUGUGGAUGACCUAAUAUAUAUUUUCAUGAAUUGAUGGGACAGGUCUCGGUCAAAGAAAAGGUUUGGCCACGCCAAACUGAGAUAAUAGCUUAAAAUGAUGAUUAUAGAACAUUUUACCGUUGUAUUGGAUUUAAAUUUUAUAGGAGAUUUUUCAUGCUAUUUUUCUAUAAAAGCUACUACAUUACUUACUAGACCAUAGAACAUCCCAAUAUUAGGACUUAAAGUUAUUGUUUGGACUACUUUUUUUUAUUUUUGCUAGAUAUUUUUGGAUUUUGUGUUAAUUUCCUUUACUUGUUAGGAUUUUCAUUUUAAUUUUAAUUUUAAUUUUCUAGUUUAGGUCAUUUUUUUAACCUAUAAAAAAGCAUUGUAAAUCUCUUUAUAAGGCAUACUUGGUCAAAUUAUUAUUUCAUAAAUAAAAUAAGUUUCAACUCUAAUUCAGUCUCUCUUUAUGUGUUGUUAUUAUUUUAGUGUGCUUUUAUCUACAUUAAUAGGCUAGAUAUUUUACUUGCUUGUUGUUUUGGCUACUUCAGUGCACAUCUAUCUUUAUUAAAAUCCAUUAAGGUGAGUAAAAAAUGCAGAAAAAAAUAAAAGAAAAAUUAUCCUGAUUAUUCUAUAAUUUACUCAAUUUUACACAUUGUCUCUAUAGUUUUGAAAAUUUCAGAAAGUAUUUUGAAUUUAUAUGUUCAUAACACUUUACACGAUGCUAAAAAAAUCAACAAAAAAGGUUUAACUAUUUACAAGAUUGGUUUUGUAUUUUUUUUAAUGACUAAACAACGUUAGUAUAUCAAAAUAAUAAAAAUACCCUUAAAUAAAAAAUGGCAAUCCAAUAAAUAUAGCAUAUAUUCAGAGCUUGAAAUUUUGUGAAGCAUUUUAACAAACACAUCGUAUGUUACUUCAACUUUUCAAAUCCUCAUCCUCAAAUCAUAAAGUCCAAAACCUUGUUCUUCAUUUUCUCCUUCUAGAAUCUAGCCAACUAAACCUAACAAAUCUCCUCUAUUAAAGCACCAAUUUUGCCACCACUCAAACCUAACAUAAGUCUUUCUACUGUUGUUUUCUAAAAGCUCAUUGACUUUCAAAGCACAAGAACACCACUAAAUUUUUAGGCUAAAAUAAUAAUGUCAAAGCUCCAACCAACUUUUAUUAUCUAGAUAUAAUGAAGUUUUUUUGGCAAGAAGAAGAGAUGCAUAUUUGCACAACCAAGCUAGGAAUGCUUUAUUGUCUACUAGAUGUAGAUCUACACCAUGUAGAGCUUCUUCUUUAGGUGGUAGAUUUUAGGGGUCACCUUCGAAGAGCAAAGAAAUUGAGAGAAAAACAUAAAUACUCCGAAAGAAAACAAAGGAAAUGGAGAAAAUAAGUUUGGACCCAAAAACUAAAGUAAAGAUUAUGCUUUGGAUGUAAACUAAUGCAGAUCUUACUAAUUUUUCUUUUACCCUUUCUCUAUUUAUUUUUAUUCUAUAUCUUUAAGAUCUUAAAAACAAGCUUUCAUAUUAGUCUAUAUUCACGAACAAAUGAUUUUUCUUUCGGAACAAUCUUAAAUUUUGUCUUUAAAACUCCAUACAACACCUGAUCAAGGCACGCUAAUCUCUAUAAAAUCCACAAUAAAAAAAACCCUAGUAAUAAUGCCAACAUUGGCACACCAAUCUCUAUAAAAUCCACACUCAAAUCUCUUAAUAAAAAAAACCCUGAUAAUAAUGCCAUCAAUGAAACCCAACUUUUCAAUUCAAUCAAAGACCUCCCUUUAGCAUAUGCAUUAUUCUUUUCCUUUCAAAUAUCCUUCACACAUGGCUUUCUUGAAUCCCACAGAACCCCGCAAUUGAAAACAACUUUACCCUACUUAGCCUCUGAUGAAUGAUGAAAUUUUAUCAGAUUUAUAUAAAAAUUUUAUCAGAUCUAUAUAAAUCUAAAGGGCAUGAAACCAUAAUUCAUUAAUCUUGUGUUUUCUUUUAUGGUGUUGGAUUUGGUUAGACAAGAAAAUUUGUUGACCAGCGAGUAGUUCUCUAUGCUCCCAGUUCAAUCGGACUUCUGUUCUAUGUGCAUUUCACUCGUUUUUGACUGAUAGUAAAUUUUUUAUCAUGUAUAUAUCAUUUGAGAUAUACCGGUUGGAAAUCUGAGUAGAAGUGAAUUUUUGGUAUUCCAGUUUGUAAAUAUAUUUUGUAACUGGCAAAGGAAUGGCGAUUUUUAAAUGGCCUAAACUGGAUGGGUAUCGGGUUUCUGUCUACCAUUUUCAUUAAGUGUAGUUGGGCAAACAUUUGUAAUCGGUUGCUGCAAGAAAGAUGCGUGAAUGGUUACAAGUCCGAAAUAUUAUUAGUUUGAGAGUUUAGCUACUCCAACUUCACUAUAGAUGGCAUAACAUAAAGAAGGAGAAGAGAAAUCUACAGAAGCGUUAUUUGUAAGUUAUAUAGAUGAUUGAAAAUUGAUCUUAUAUAUUUUGCUACUGAAAUUACUUUGAUUCAAGUAUCCAUGUUAACAUAUAAGCUUGAAUAAUACACAAAACAGAAACUACAGAAGCGUUCUACCCGAGACAAACUCGGUGAAGGCCAACGCAACCAAACCCAACAUGGCAAAUCUACCGUUCCACAUCUCAGCAUCAGAUGUCAUUACGCCAUCUGACUUGGAUUCCGCGCUGACCCCUUUGAAUAGUGGGACCAAAGACGCGACAGAGAGCAGAAUACUUGUUCCGACGAACCACGAGACUCCACCGUUAGAUAUCUGAGAAAAAAGGUCUUGGCCCUUGGACAGUUCCACUGCCAUUGCAGCGACAAAGCCUAUCAUGGCAAGCCUGCCAUUGAUCCUCUCUGGUGCGGGUCCGCUAAAUGCCAACACAUCAGCGAAUUUUGUGCUGACCUGUUAAUCAUCAUCAUGCAUGCGUUUAUAUUAGAAGUGUAAGCAUAAAUGCAAUCAAAAAGUCCAUGCUCUACUUAAAUUGUUAAAAUUAAACAUUUCCGAAAUAACUCAUGCCAGAUAAUUAAUCCUGUACCUUUGGCUUAGGAGGAGGACUUGGCUCUGCUGACAUUUUCUGCUCAUCCUGCAAAUUGAACCAAAUGUUAACACAAUCCUAAGAACCAUCACCUAAACUAUAUACAAAGGAAGUCGCGAUGGAAUCCAAAUUACUCA
rnacentral:lncRNA from 1 species